AACAGAUCAAACCGAGCUUCCACUUGAGCCUAUUCACCGAAGUACCAACAAGUGCUUCCAAAAUGGUUUCUUAGACUAUGGUGCAUUAGGCGCAAACCAUGCACAUAUCUUGCAUCGACCCUAAAACUGUUUCUAACCAGACCAAAGUGAGAUUCCAUAUGACACACGUCAUCAAGGAGUUCCAUCGGGUGCAUCCAAAUUGAUUUCCAAGCAUAUGGUAUGUUCCAUGCAAACCGUGCACUUAUCUUGCAUCAAGAUUAGCACAAUCUCCAAACAGACCGAACUGAUCUUCCACU
rnacentral:lncRNA from 1 species